rnacentral:lncRNA from 1 species
UCAUCGAAAACUUCUUGUCAACACUUCACAAAUACAUGGUCAUUAUAUUAUUAACAAAUGUUACAUAUGCUAAUGAAUUACUAUUAUUUAUUCCCUCUAGUCAAUAUUAUAAGCAAAAAUAAAAUAAAAUAAAACUUACAUCGAUUGUAAACAAAAAACAACAACUUUUGAAUCAUUUAAUGCUACUUUUAUUAAUACACCUUUCAUUGAUUUCAAAGUAUUUAACAUUGAUAAUCGAAUGUUUAACAUUUAAAAAUGCUAAUUUAUAAAAUUUGACCUGUAUUUUACAUAAAAACUAAAAAAUUAACUACAGUUCACAACAUUUUUUUAAUACCUGUGAACGUUUUUUUCUUCUUAUAAUAAUGACCCAAGGGAGUAGGUUUCAUCUAUUAAGGAAGAAGUUUGUUUGGGGAUCUAAAUAUGUGGUUCUCAAACUCCAGCCCAAUUUUUCACUUGCAAGAGAUAAAAGACUUGCAUAAUUGUAAGCAAAUAGGUAUUACAUCUUUUUGUCUCAAAGUGACCUUAGGCUUGCUUACCAACCAUUGCGAACCAAUUUGUACUCUCUUUUGUGUUUCAAUUUCCAUUAGAAAAAAAAUAAGACACAACCACCUCUUCAAAUCUAUCUAUGUCUAUAUCUAUAAUAUUAUAAUAUUAUAUGAUUUAUAUUUUUUUUGGCAAGUUUGCCAUUUGUCAUCUAUUGAAAGACACAGGAUUAUAUUAAGUUUCUAUUAUUAUUAUUAGUAGUAAUAUGUAAUUAAUUAACUAGUGUGGAUACCCAUACAUUGCAAGGAGUUUUUGAUUGACGUCUAUAUAAUAAAAAUAAAAAAUUACAUAUUAAAAAUUUAUAUGAUAAAAAUGACGUGAAAAUAUUUGCUAUGAAAUAUGAGUUUCAUUCUCUUAAAAAUGAGAAGGUUAAAAUAAAAAUAAUGACCAAAAUAAUAAUUUGAAUCACAAAAAUCAAAAAUAUAAUUUGAAUUGCUUACAAGACAAAUAAGUAUAUAACUUGUUGCCAAAAAAAUUAUAAUUGUCAAACAAUCCUUGUCUACACUUCACAAAUUUAUGAUCUUUAUAUUAUUGAUACAAAUGUAACUUAUGCUAAUUAGUUACUAUUAUGUAUUCCAUCUAAUCAUUAUUAUAAACAAAAGUUAAAUAAAUAAAAAAAUUAAAUGUACGACUAUAUAACUGGUAUUUACAGUUUUGAAAUGUGUGAUAAUGUUCUUAGUAGUACAAAUGAAGUGUAAAUUCUAGUGUUUUUUUUUUUUUUUUUGAUAAAUAGUUGAUAAAGUUGAAAGUGUGACAUAAAGCAAAUGUCAUGCACUAUAUUUUUAGUGAGUAUAAGGGAGGGGAGGUGGGUGUUUUUUCAAAACUAUAGAGGGGUGUUAGUGUUAUUUUAAGGUGAUUUCGAAUGAAGUAAAUACAAUUUCUCUUACACAAAAUAUAUCUACUUUUGGAUCAUUUAAUGCUCUUUUAUUAACACACUCUUCGUUUAUUUCAAAAUAUUUAACAUUGAUAGUUGAAUGUAUAAUAUUUAAAAAGGACAAUUUAAUAAAUUUGACUUAUAUUUUACAUGAAAUUUAGAAAAUUAACUACAAUUAACUACAUUUCUUAAUACAGGUAAAUUUUUUUCUUCUUCUCUUAUAAUAGUGACAAGAGGGAAGAGGGAGUAUGUUUCAUCUUGUAAGAUAGAAUUUUUUUGAGAAUCUAGAUACGUGAUUCUCAAACUUCAACCCCAUUUUUCACUUGCAAGACAUUAAAGGCUGGCAUAAUUUCAAGCAAAUAGGUAUUACAUCUUUUU